rnacentral:tRNA from 1 species
AGGGGAAUCGUGUAAUGGCAGCACAAAUGAUUCUGGUUCAUUUAGUUGGGGUUCGAGUCCCUAUUCCCCUGCUA